rnacentral:misc_RNA from 1 species
GAAAUGCGAUAAGUAAUGUGAAUUGCAGAAUUCAGUGAAUCAUCGAAUCUUUGAACGCACCUUGCGCUCCUUGGUAUUCCUUGGAGCAUGCCUGUUUGAGUAUCAUGAAAUCUUCAAAGUAAAUCUUUUGUUAACUCAAUUGGUUUCUACUUUGGUAUUGGAGGUCUUUGCAGCUUCACACCUGCUCCUCUUUGAUCAUUAGCUGGAUCUCAGUGUUAUGCUUGGUUCCACUCGGCGUGAUAAGUUAUCUAUCGCUGAGGACACUGUAAAAGGUGGCCAAGGUAAAUGCAGAUGAACCGCUUCUAAUAGUCCAUUGACUUGGACAAUACUUUUAUGAUCUGAUCUAAAAUCAGGUAGGACUACCCGCUGAACUUAAGC